rnacentral:rRNA from 1 species
UACGUAGGGGGGCUAGCGUUGUUCGGAAUCACUGGGCGUAAAGCGCACGUAGGCGGUUUGCUAAGUCAGGGGUGAAAUCCUGGAGCUCAACUCCAGAACUGCCUUUGAUACUGGCGGACUUGAGUCCGGGAGAGGUGAGUGGAACUGCGAGUGUAGAGGUGAAAUUCGUAGAUAUUCGCAAGAACACCAGUGGCGAAGGCGGACUCACUGGCCCGGUACUGACGCUGAGGUGCGAAAGCGUGGGAGCA